CAGCCCAGGAGCAGCUCGUGGGCAAAGAUUUGGUGGCCAGAGCUCAGCUUCAGGCCACCUCCCGGGCCUCCCAAGGCAAACUCCCCAGAGUAAGAGCAAAGGAAGAGCCUCCAUCCUGUCCUCCCAGGGGCCCUGGGAGGCAGGAGGAGUCGGCUAACUGGGAGGGGCAUGUGCAAGGCCGCCUUGGGAGGAAGGAGUGUUUUCUGGUGCAUAUGCAUUGAUCAAAGAUGACUGCUGUGUUCUCGAUUUUAUUUUAAAGGUAAGUUUGGCUGUUGCUGCACAUCCUGCCACAUCCACCCCGCCUUGCAGCUCUGAGCUGAGAGCAUCUUCAAGCCCAGCCUCGAGGCCUGGGGCUCUCCUCCAGCCCCAGAGUCCAGUUCCCCGGGGCAGGUCCUAGGGUGCCAGGGACUCAGUGCUCUCUAGGAGCUGAGCUCAGACAGUGGAACGGGAGCCUGAUGUCCCUGCUUCUUACCCCACAAGUGGGACUCCAGGGAGGCAUCUGCUACCAGUCUCCCAGAGGUUCCCAGGUGGACUGAGUCCACCUCCCACCAAGGUGACCUGCUCGGGAGUGCAACCCACACUGGUUUCCUUCCUUCGUUAGCUCCUUUCUCCUUCCCUCCCCGUCUCCUGAAAUCACACCCUAAAUAAAUUGCAUGAAAAUUCUCCCCUCAGGUUUGCUUCCAGGGGUUCUUAUACCAACGACACGCUGGAUGUUCAGGGACAGAGGACACGCAGUGAGGCCUGGGCUCCAGUUCUGGCUUCACCUUCUGCCAGCCAGGUGACAAGCGAAUGGCCUCAAUUUCUUCACCGUUAAAUGAGGACGUUAAUAAGAGCCCAACCACAAUAGCAUAUUGUAAGGACGGAACGAGACGAUUCAUAUAAAGCAGUGUUCACAGUACCUGGUGCUUGGCAAACACUCAGAAUUAUUACUAGCUGUCACCGGGCAUGGUGAUGUCCGCCCUCCCACCCCAUAACCCCAGCUACUCAGGAGGCUGAGGCACGAAGGAACAUAAGUUCAAGGUUAGCCCCGGUAAUUUAGCAAAAUAAAAAGGGCUGGGAAUAUAGCUUAGUGGUAGAGCACCUCUGGGUUCAAUCUCCAGUAUGACAAAAAAGAAAGAAAAAAGAAAACCAGGAUAAUGCAACCAUGUAAAAAUUGUUCAAUUGCAACAUUUUUAUUUUUAAAAAUAAAUUAAUUUUUUUGUACAGGGGAUUGAACCAUUGAACCCAGGGGCAUUUUACCACUGCCCUUUUUACCACUGCCCAUUUUUUUUGCCCUUUUUAUUUUUUUUUAUUUUGAGAUAGGGUCUCCCUCAGUUGCCUAGGCUGGCUUCAAACUUAGAAUCCUCCUGCCUCAGCCCCGCCGGAGUCACUAGAAUUAAAGGCAAGC
rnacentral:lncRNA from 1 species